UACGAGGGGGCAAAUGUUGUUCGGAAUCACUGGGCGUAAAGGGAGCGUAGGCGGGUUCUAAGUCAGGUGUUUAAUCCCGGGGCCCAACCCGGACAGGCACUUGAAACUGGGAAUCUUGAAUAGUGGAGAGGUCAGUGGAAUUGGGGGUGUAGCGGUGGAAUGCGUAGAGAUCCCCAAGAACACCAGUUGCGAAGGCGGCUGACUGGACACAUAUUGACGCUGAGGCUCGAAAGCAUGGGGAGCAACAGGG
rnacentral:rRNA from 1 species